GGCUUCAUGGUCUAGUGGUAUGAUUCGUGCUUUGGGAAUUCAGCUCAACUGCACGAGGCCCCGGGUUCGAGCCCCGGUGGAGCCC